UACGUAGGUGGCAAGCGUUGUCCGGAAUUAUUGGGCGUAAAGCGCGCGCAGGCGGUCCUUUAAGUCUGAUGUGAAAGCCCACGGCUCAACCGUGGAGGUCAUUGGAAACUGGGGGACUUGAGUGCAGGAGAGAAGAGUGGAAUUCCACGUGUAGCGGUGAAAUGCGUAGAGAUGUGGAGGAACACCAGUGGCGAAGGCGGGUUGCUGGGCUGACACUGACGCUGAUGCGCGAAAGCCAGGGGAGCGAACGGG
rnacentral:rRNA from 1 species